GGUAGACAUAAUUUGAAUCUGGCUCUUUCGGGGUACUUAUUGUAAUUUGAAGAUGAUGCUUCUGAUGCGGCCCCUGACUAACUGCCCUGGAACGGCCCKACAGAGAGGGAGACAAUCCCGUCUGGGAUGGGGUGUCCUCUCCCGUGUGAACCUCCUUCCACGAAUCUAGUUGAUUGUGAAUGCAACUCUAAAUGGAUGUUAAAUUUCAUCUAAAACUAAAUACUGGCCGAAGACCAAUAACAAACAAGA
rnacentral:rRNA from 1 species